GACGAACGCUGGCGGCGUGCCUAAUACAUGCAAGUUGAGCGAUGAAGAUUGGUGCUUGCACCAAUUUGAAGAGCAGCGAACGGGUGAGUAACGCGUGGGUAAUCUGCCUUUGAGCGGGGGACAACAUUUGGAAACGAAUGCUAAUACCGCAUAACAACUUUAAACAUAAGUUUUAAGUUUGAAAGAUGCAAUUGCAUCACUCAAAGAUGAUCCCGCGUUGUAUUAGCUAGUUGGUGAGGUAAAGGCUCACCAAGGCGAUGAUACAUAGCCGACCUGAGAGGGUGAACGGCCACAAUGGGACUGGGACACGGCCCAAACUCCUACCGGGAGCAGCAGUAGGGAAUUUUCGGCAAUGGAGGAAAGUCUGACCGAGCAACGCCGCGUGAGUGAAGGAGGUUUUCGGAUCGGAAAACUCUGUUGGUAGAGAAGAACGAUGGGGGGAGGGGAAAGCUCAUCAAGUGACGGUAACUACCCAGAAAGGGACGGCUAACUACGUG
rnacentral:rRNA from 1 species